rnacentral:tRNA from 3 species
GGGCCUGUAGCUCAGUUGGUUAGAGCGGGCGGCUCAUAACCGCUUGGUCGUAGGUUCGAGUCCUACCGGGCCCACCA